rnacentral:rRNA from 1 species
GACGAACGCUGGCGGCGUGCUUAACACAUGCAAGUCGAACGGAAAGGCCCUGCUUUUGUGGGGUGCUCGAGUGGCGAACGGGUGAGUAACACGUGAGUAACCUGCCCUUGACUUUGGGAUAACUUCAGGAAACUGGGGCUAAUACCGGAUAGGAGCUCCUGCUGCAUGGUGGGGGUUGGAAAGUUUCGGCGGUUGGGGAUGGACUCGCGGCUUAUCAGCUUGUUGGUGGGGUAGUGGCUUACCAAGGCUUUGACGGGUAGCCGGCCUGAGAGGGUGACCGGCCACAUUGGGACUGAGGUACGGCCCAGACUCCUACGGGAGGCAGCAGUGGGGAAUAUUGCACAAUGGGCGGAAGCCUGAUGCAGCAACGCCGCGUGCGGGAUGACGGCCUUCGGGUUGUAAACCGCUUUCGCCUGUGACGAAGCGUGAGUGACGGUAAUGGGUAAAGAAGAACCGGCUAACUACGUG